rnacentral:lncRNA from 1 species
CAACCUUUAUUCUUUUUGAAGACCUAAUACAAUGCAUCAAAAGCAACUUAAAACAAGACACAGAGCCAUCAAAUCUAAAGCUUGAACAAAAUUUCAAGGAGGUACACUUCCCCAGCACCCCCACCCCAUUGCCUUGUAAAGGCAAAAUUACAACUGACCACCAUAUAUCCUCCCUCUCGUCAAAGACCAACUUUAUUUUAACAAUAUAAUUUUUUUUGUAAAAACAUUGAACAAAGCUUUUUUAAACAAAGUAACAAGAAAAAUGAACUUUAAUUUUUUUAAAAAAAUUAAAUAGCAGCAUCCUGGGCAGCUAAUGCUCUCUCUCAUGGUGACACGUGUAACAGUAACAUGGAUAUUCUUUUCAAUUGAUCCUAACCCCAUCUUCUUCUAGAAUAACAACCCCCACCCCUACCCCCACCAGCUGGAGGUCUAAUCUUAAGAAAAAUUUGGCAUUUUGAAACUUUGUCCCAUGGGAGGCAUUGUGCUUUGAACUGCCCCUCUCUUAAAAGACCCUGAACCUACACAGCUACCAGGGUCUACUUCCUAACUGACUUGGAUACCAUGCAUAACAAAAGCACAGUUGUUACAACCAGCAAUGAGUCCCUCCCAAGGAGGGACAUCAGUAGGACAUCCCAAGCACAAUAAGUCAUAACCAGCUACAAAACAAAGCCACCGAUUCCCCACAGCAACAGCUCACAAUGACACAUUUUGACCCUACACACUUGGACAAGGAUUUCUCAGCUGAGAUUCAUCCAGACCAGCCUGCAAGGAGUUAGCAUUUUUUUUUUUUCAAAAGGGAAAAAAAGAGCCAGAGAAUUACUGUACUUCUCAUUUCACUUGCAAACAAUUUUCACCAUUGUAGAACAAAACUAACACAACCUUUAAAACACACACAUACACAAUUGUUCUUAGAAGUUUGGAUGGUUAUGUGCUUGAAUGAACGAAAUGAUUGUGUAUCUUUUUUGCUGAAAGGUGCACUGAAAACACAGUCCAUGCACAUAUGUGAAUAUAUAUUUAUAUAACUAUAUAUAUAUAACUAUAUAUAUAUAUAUAUGGGUCUCACAAGUCUAAGUUGUAAGAUGAUUCAAAAACAUGCUUUUUCAUUUUUACAUGUACUUAUGAUCUCUCCUUCCUUCCUUCCUGUGUAAUGAGAAUGAGGACCCAUGCUCCCAUUCCUACAGCCCUGUAAUGGCAUCUUUGUACCUUAGUUUUUAGCUUUUCUUUCUAAGGAUAUCACAUGGAUGGGAAAAAUAAGGUGAAUAAAACAGUUCUCAGAAGUAGCUCUAAUAUAUGUCAACUAAUGUCUACAGGAAGCUUCAAUUUGGAUUUUGUUAGCACUGACUUUUGGAUUUAACUGAAAGGACACUGCAGAAUGCUGGUGAAAUGUCUGGAAGUACAACUAUGAUGGGCAUGCUACUCAGCAAUCAGAGAGGCAUUUGGCAGAGCUGUAAUAUCGUAUAUAUGGCAUUACUUGCUAUGAUAUGUUGCUAUGAAUUCUGCCUCAUUAUUUAAUAAUAAUAAUAACUUCUGCAAAUGUGCUUGUUAGCUACAAGGAAAGCCAAUGUUGGAAUAUCAACAUUUCCACUGAAAUCAUAUCGAGAAAAAUUCUUAGAAAUAAAAACAGCAAUUUUGUUCUUGUGUGUUUGCCUACGGAAUGUAAUUCAUCUCUGAUCCAUCUUUAUUUCUUCGCUUGCUAUAUCUGGGUUACAAUGAAAGCUAGUUUAACUACCAUAUACUGUUAUACUUUUGUGACACAUGAGAUCUUAUCUAAUUAUAUCACACCCCCCCCCCAAAGUGAUCAUAAAGAAACAUUGUUUAAGAAUUUAGUCCAGAUGAAUUCUAAUUCAUCUGAAGAGGAGAGGGGAAUGAUCAAUAGUUUUAUAUAACUCAGGAAAAAAAAAACUCAUUAAAUUUUAGAACUGACAGUCUUGGACAUAAGAGUGAACUUUGAUCUUAAAUAUGUGAAAGAUUUCCAUUUGAGAAAGAUGUAACAUUCCGCAGAAAAAUGAAGUCAAUUGCUGGUUUCCAAAAGCAACUUAAAAACUUUCACAGAAGCAGAAGUGGAGAGGCAAAUUAAGUUUAACAGCACUUCCAAAGUUAAAAUGAUGUCUCCAGACUUUUGUGUUAAUUAGCUUGGACAGUGACCAGAGAGAAUCUACUAGGAUUUAUUCCUCUUAGUACAUAUACAAAUCCUAUUAAACAAAACAGACUUUAUAUAUGUAAAUUAAGGAAAAUAGACCUCUACCUACCCUAAAAUUGGAAAGACAACUCUACUAGAUUAUUCCUAUUGCUUCCAGCAAAGUAAGACACAAUUAUAUGGAUAAUUGGGGAAAAAAGCAGUGCCAAGAAUUCUGGAAUGGUCAUACCACUGAUGCAAUGUGGACGAUGAUUGUGACAUGUCUUUGGUUCUUGUACCCCCAAAAAUGGUCAGCUGGAAUAUACCUGGUGCCGCCACAGUCAAAAUGUUUUUUUCAGAACUCGCCUUCCCUUCUAAUCAUUUUAGAAAAUGGGAAUCUUAAACUCUGAAAGAAUAACACUCUUAAAGGCUCACCUUUAAGUGACCAUAAAUAGGUGUCCAAACAAACUUAGGUAUUUUUCUAUGAAUAAAAAACAUACUUAAGAAAUUUGCUUCCUAAAAACUGAAAUAUCUGACCAGCUGGGUGAAGCUUAAGGGUUACAGUGGUUGGUUAGACUAUCAUUUAUUGGCUAUGAGUAAUAAAUCAAAAGGGUUUGGAAAAACCUAAAACAAAUUAUAUCAUUUGUUCUCUGCAAUCAUUAAAGGAAGAAGUUUACAAUGUUUUUUUUAAAUAAACAUCGUUAGGUACCGUAUUUUUAAGAGAGUCUUAAAACAAUAUUGUUGGACUUCAAUGAUAUUUUGUAAUAUUCAUAUAUUUUUUUUAUUGAAUAAAGCAGCUUUGAAGCUUAUCAGGCACUGCCCAACAAAACAUUUAGUCCAAAA